rnacentral:rRNA from 1 species
UACGGGGGGAGCAAGCGUUGUUCGGAUUUACUGGGCGUAAAGCGUGCGCAGGCGGUUUUGUAAGACAGGCGUGAAAUCCCCGAGCUCAACUUGGGAAUUGCGCUUGUGACUGCAAGGCUAGAGUGUGUCAGAGGGGGGGUAGAAUUCCACGUGUAGCAGUGAAAAUGCGUAGAUAUCUGGAGGAACACCGGUGGCGAAGGCGGCAUCCUGGACCGGUAUUGACGCUGAGGAGCGAAAGCCAGGGGAGCAAACGGGG